CCAGUAGAGGGCGGCAUUUGUUUUGAAUUGCAUGGAAUGUCGUGAACUUUCGGUCAGACAUGAUUCGGAAUGUGAAUUUUGUUUCACGUGUUUUUAAUGUCCGGAAUGUAUUUGUUCCACUAGUGGCAUCAGUUACAUUUAAUCCACUCAUUGGGUUGCAGGUACAUGCGCAAGCAUUCUCCAACAGCAGUGAUGAGGUAGAAAAGGCAACUGCAGCAGCUGCUCGUUUCAAGUAUGCUCAGCCAGAGCCGACCAUCUUCAGCAAGAUUUUGGAUAAAACCAUCCCUGCCGACAUUAUCUAUGAGGAUGACAGGUGUAUUGCUUUUCGAGAUGUCAACCCAGUUGCACCAGUCCACUUUCUAGUUAUACCAAGAAUAGUGAUUCCAAGACUUAGUCAAGCAGACGACAGUGAUACACAGUUUCAAUGGGACCUCAGCAAACAAACCUUCGGGUUCAGAGGCUUCUAGGCCAUCUUUUAACAAUAGCAAGGAAAACAGCUGAAGCAGAAGGUCUACAGGAAGGGUAUAGAGUAGUGAUAAAUGAUGGAAAGGAUGGUUCUCAGUCAGUGUACCACCUACAUGUCCAUGUGAUGGGUGGAAGACAGAUGUCAUGGCCACCUGGAUAGAAGUUGGACACCUGGAAUAGGGGUUGGGCCACAUGGAUAUAGGUUGUCCCUCUGAAUAGGGGUUGGCAACUUGCAUAGACAAUGACUUAUCAUUAUGCAGAUUAUGUAAAUUUAGAAGAUUGUAUUGGCUUCUUUAUGAACCGUUUUUAUGUUAAUUUUGUAAUGUGCAAUGCACUAUGACUCACCAAUUAAAUUAUGAUGUUACUUUUUAAUUUAUUUAGAUUAGUAUCCUUCAAAUAUGUAGAACAAUUGGUGUCUGGGACUUUUUUUUGCAUUUCCUCUGUUAUUCGUGUCUUGAUAAUGAUUUUGUUUUCAUCCUGUUGAUGUUUAUAAUUUUAGGUUGAUAUAAGCCUUACAAUACAAUAAAUAAUAAUAAUGUUAUAAUUGCAUGUUGUAGUUUUGUGAUUUUUUUUUACAAGAACUCUGCACUAUAAAUCAACAGAAAAGAGCAUGUACUAAAGAUAAAUAGAAACAACAAAUACAACAUUAAAUAUGGUGUGAUAAAACCAAUUAAGGCUGAAGUAAAAAAAAAAAAAAUAUUAUAUAACAACAAAUUGUAGUCCAUGUAAAAGGAUGUUCUUAUGUGUGUGAAAACCUGAUUAUAUACGUAGUACAGUACUGCCAGCCCCCUCCCCCCCCCCCCCCCCAAAUCAUGGGGAUGGACUUUUUGCCAAGCGCUGCCCUAUAGAUGUUGUUGCGAAGGUACCACAAACCAACAGCGUCAGUACUUUCAAACAUGCUUUUGUGAUUUGUGAAACAACACGUGUGUUUUGUGAGUUAAGCACGUUUUCCUAGCCAUGAUUGGUCAGUUAUAUACCUAUAAAAGAGGCCUACUUCCAGUAUUACCAUAGAGGCAUAUACUAAUAAGUUCAAAACACAUCGUUGUAUAUCAAAUUAAUGGGUUUUAUAUUGUGGGCCUAGUCGUUUUUACUAAAGUAC